AGGGAAGGGGCAGUGACACAGCCUCAGACCCCAGACUCUGGGCCUGGAGACACAGAGUUGGGAGGCCCCGUCCCUGCUGCUGAGGACUGCUCAGCGGUGGGGUGGGGCCCUCACAGAAAAGCUGUGGUCUCCCAGGCCUGGCUGGAGAAUUAAUGAUCAAAGGAUGUGAAUGUGUAGUAACAGCAGCAGUUGGGCCGGGAGAACUGGUUGUUUUACAGAAGCUAAAAUCCCCACCAAACAGAAGGAGCUGAUUGAAUGAUGACCAUGAACACACGGCCCAGGGACCUACUGGAUCCUGAAGACUGAUAAUGUUAACCCCUGUGAUCCUGCCCUAUUACC